rnacentral:rRNA from 1 species
CACCGGCGGCUCGAGUGGUGGCCACUUUUAUUGGGUCUAAAGCGUCCGUAGCCGGCUUGGCAAGUCCCCUGGGAAAUCUGGCGGCUUAACCGUCAGGCGUCCAGAGGAUACUGCCAGGCUUGGGACCGGGAGAGGUGAGAGGUACCUCAGGGGUAGGGGUGGAAUCUUGUGAUCCCUGAGGGACCACCAGUGGCGAAGGCGUCUCACUAGAACGGGUCCGACGGUCAGGGACGAAAGCUGGGGGCACGAACCGG